GACGAACGCUGGCGGCGUGCUUAACACAUGCAAGUCGAACGGAAAGGCCCUGCUUUUGUGGGGUGCUCGAGUGGCGAACGGGUGAGUAACACGUGAGUAACCUGCCCUUGACUUUGGGAUAACUUCAGGAAACUGGGGCUAAUACCGGAUAGGAGCUCCUGCUGCAUGGUGGGGGUUGGAAAGUUUCGGCGGUUGGGGAUGGACUCGCGGCUUAUCAGCUUGUUGGUGGGGUAGUGGCUUACCAAGGCUUUGACGGGUAGCUGGCCUGAGAGGGUGACCGGCCACAAUGGGACUGAGAUACGGCGCAGACUCCUACGGGAGGCAGCAGUGGGAAAUAUUACGCAAUGGGCGGAAGCCUGAUGCAGCAACGCCGCGUGCGGGAUGACGGCCUUCGGGUUGUAAACCGCUUUCGCCUGUGACGAAGCGUGAGUGACGGUAAUGGGUAAAGAAGCACCGGCUAACUACGUG
rnacentral:rRNA from 1 species